rnacentral:snRNA from 1 species
CGCUCUUGUUUCUCUUCAUCUCGUAUAAAUCUUUCGCCUUUUACUAAAGAUUUCCGUGGAGAGGAACAACAAGAGUAUAUCACAAUUUUUUGAUGCCCUACAUUUGUAGGGCU